rnacentral:lncRNA from 1 species
AGCUAACGCCUGGCCUUUAUUACUGAAUGGAACUUCUGCCCUGAGAGCCUGUUGCGUUUCACCUUAAACUUGGAUAUACACCAAGUAGUAGAUGGAAAAGUUUUCUCUCUCCCUGAGCCCAGAGCCCAGAGCCCGGGACUAAGCCAACACUGCCAGGCUUGGCCCUCUGCUUCCACAUCCUACCCUGGUUCUUCUGCGCCCCCACCCCACCACUACCCCAACCUCAGAAUCAAAGCUCCUCCUAAAUAGGAUGCAACUUCUAGCCAAAAUAAAUACUUGGUGAAAGAAAAAAAAAUCUCAAGAGAUCACAGACCAGUAAUGAAAAGAAGAGAAUGGGAAUCCUCUUCUUUUCCUACGUCUGCCACUUUCCCAGUCUGGAGACCUAUGCACUGAAGUUGGGCGUCAUUCCUCUGGUUGAGAGUGGACAUCCUGCCAUCUCCUUCAGACUUUGCCUGUUUCAGGGGGUGUUCCUUUGCAAUGAUGCCUGGGCAUCAGAGGAGAGGGUGUGAGCCCCACAGAAUACAGGGGUUCAAGUCAUGAGAGAACAAUACCAUCGCAAAUCACAAGAUAAUAGUGAAAAAAAAAACAUCGAUUGAAUUUUAUCGUCAGAGGAAGAGAGCCAUGAUCCAUGUGACUUUGGCGGUAUUCAGUGUUAGUACGGACAUUGGGUGUUUUCUGUAUCGGCUAGCCUUGGUGCAGAAGACUGGUGAUUCCUCACGUGGCAUUCUCCCCAGGGCACAGAGCUUUCCUGCUCCUUGCCCCAUAUCUUGGAAAGUGGAAAGACUGCAAGCUGAUCCAAGAGUCACUGAGCAACUGUCCAAAUGUUCUGAAGGAUGGCUACCCCACUGGCAAUGUUUUUUUAAAGUAAGCUCUACAUUGGGGGUGCCUGGGUGACUCACUGUUUGUGGGUUUGAGCCCCAUGUUGGGCCCUGUGCUGACAGCUCUGAGCCUGGAGUCUGCUUCAGAUUCUGUGUCUCCCUCUCUCUUGGCCUCUCCCUUGCUCAAACUCUGUCUCUCACUCUCUCUCUCAAAAAUAAAUACACAUAAAAAAAGAUUUAAAACA